AAAUACACACACACUUGGAAAACGUUUUUAAGAUCAAAAGCAGCAGUCAAAACUUUCAACAACGGAUCUCUAGGUUCUCGCAUCGAUGAAGAACGCAGCGAAAUGCGAUACGUAAUAUGAAUUGCAAGUCUUGUGAAUCAUCGAAUCUUUGAACGCACAUUGCGCUCUGGGGCAUUCCCCAGAGCAUGCCUGUAUGAGCGGUGUUUCUCUCUCGCAAGGUGAUGGGCCGCACGGCAAGUCGGCCCCAAAGACGCCGGGUCUAAUGUACUAGGCUUCAUUAACGCCCCAAUUUUAGUGUCACCCUCAUAUCAGGUAGGACUACCCGCUGAACUUAAGCAUAUCAAA
rnacentral:misc_RNA from 1 species